rnacentral:lncRNA from 1 species
GCCCUUAGCCGACAGCGAGAAACUGCCUAUUCAGAAACACAGAAACACCGAGACCUCAAAAUCCCCUGAGAAGGACGUUCCCAUGGUAGAAAAGAAGAGCAAGAAACCCAAGAAGAAAGAGAAAAAACACAAAGAGAAAGAGAGAGACAAGGAGAAGAAGAAGGAGAAGGAGAAGAAGGCUGAGGACCUGGACUUCUGGCUGUCUACCACCCCACCGCCUGCCCCCGCCCCCGCCCCCGCCCCCGUUCCAUCCACGGGGGAGCUCAGUGUGAACACUGUCACUACCCCGAAGGACGAGUGUGAGGACGCCAAGACGGAGGCGCAGGGCGAGGAGGACGAUGCCGAGGGGCAAGACCAGGACAAGAAAUCUCCCAAGCCUAAGAAGAAGAAGCACAGGAAGGAGAAGGAGGAGCGGACCAAAGGCAAGAAGAAGUCCAAGAAGCAGCCUCCAGGCAGCGAGGAGGCAGCGGGGGAGCCGGUGCAGAAUGGCGCGCCAGAGGAGGAGCAGCUCCCGCCUGAGUCCAGCUACUCCCUCCUCGCUGAAAAUUCCUAUGUUAAAAUGACCUGUGACAUCCGGGGCAGUCUGCAGGAGGACAGCCAGGUCACUGUGGCCAUCGUGCUGGAGAACAGGAGCAGCAGCAUCCUCAAGGGCAUGGAGCUCAGCGUGCUGGACUCACUCAAUGCCAGGAUGGCCCGGCCGCAGGGCUCCUCCGUCCACGAUGGCGUCCCCGUGCCUUUCCAGCUGCCCC